AGAAACAUACUACUGCUAGUUUCCUUUUGUUAUUUAUUCCAAGAAGAAAAGGGUGAAAGAAACAGUGGACCGACGCAUGGGAAAUAAAAAGAUGGCGCCAAAACAAACUCCGGCGAAACUAAACGGCGACGAGACGCCCGACGACCUCGCUACGACCAUGAGUAACACGAUACAACACCGGCAGCAGCUGCCGCUUGCUGGCUGGUAAAGUAAACAUCGCCGGCCGGUUGGACCGGCGACAGAUACAGGAGAGUAUAAGCUCGCCGUGGUCACACGGUGAGCCCGCGCAUGAACUCCCACUCCUCGUCAUCAUCCUCGGCGGCGCCCGCCGCCGACCCCUCCGAGUCGCUGCUCAUGCCGCUCGACUCCGCGCCGCUCAUGGCCGAGGCCUCCUCGGCGUCGAACGACAGGUACGGCAUUGACCCGAACGCCCUGGCGAGGGCCGCGGCGGUGGCGCCGUCGUCGGCGGUCCUCUGCUUGAGCACCUCGAACAUCACCUCCGGCUCGUGCUGCAUGGCGCGGAGCACGUCGGCGCAGGACGGGCCCGGCGCGGCGCGCGUCACCGCGAAGCAGUGCGGCCCGUCGCUCUGGGAGACGCGCACCACGCUCGGCCCGCCGAACAGGUUGUGCAGGCCGCCCAGCGCCUCCUGGUAGGCGCCGCCCAGGAACAUGCCCAGGUAGUAGCCGCGGGUGCCGUGGGUCGGGAGCUCGUGCAGAGGGAGGCUGCUCCUGCCGCCGAUGAACUGGUCCACCUUGCCGUCGCUGUCGCAGGUCAGGUCCGAGAGCACGCCGUCCACGGCGGGCCGCUCCUGGAGCCGCUGGAUGGGGAUGAUGGGGAAGAGCUGCUCGAUGGCCCACAUGUCCGGCAGCGAGGUGAACACCGACAGGUUGAUGUGGUACCUGCGCGGCCCCUCCGCCGCGCCCAUGCCGCGGGCGACGAUCUCGCACAGCCCGUCCACGGCGGCGAGGUGCUCCAGCCCGAGGACACCCUCCUUGAACUGCUCGGCGCAGCGCCGCUUCAGCUGGUCCGCGUACAGGCCGCAGGUGUCGAAGUCGCCGCGCACGGCCGAGGCCAUGAGGUUGCGGUAGUCGCUGCGGCAGUCGUCGGUGAGCUCAUCGAGCAGGUAGGCGGUCGCCGGGUCCAUCAUGUUGGAAGCCGGCGCCGUCGCGGAGAAGGCCUCGAAGAUGAGGACCGAGUGGUGCGACACCAGCGCGCGGCCGCUCUCGCUGCAGAUGACAGGGUGCUGCACGCCCUUGCGGUCGCAGACGCGGCCGACGGCGGCGACCACGGCCGCCGCGUACUCCUCCAGGCUGUAGGCCACCGACAUGUCGGUCUGCGCCGAGUGCGUCCCGUCGUAGUCGAUGCCGAGGCCGCCGCCGACGUCAAUGACGCGCAUGGCCGCGCCGAGGCGGGCGAGCUCGCAGUAGAUCUGCGCGGCCUCGCCGACCCCGUCGGCGAGCAGAGCCGUGGUGGGGAUCUGGGAGCCAAUGUGGAAGUGCAGGAGCUGGAGGCAGUCGAGCAUGGCGAGGGCCUUGAGCUUGGCCACCACGGAGAGAAUCUGCGCGGCGUUGAGGCCGAACUUGCCCUUCUCGCCGGAGGUGGCGCCGAAGUGGCCGGCGUGCUUGGUGCGCAGCUUUGCGCGCAUGCCGACCACCGGGCGGAUGUUGAGGCGGCGGCUGGCCUCGACGACAAUGUCGAGCUCCUCCUCCUGCUCGAGCACGAUGACGGUGUUGAGGCCCAUGGUGCGGGCGAUGAGCGCGAGCGAGACGUACUCGAGGUCCUUGUAGCCGUUGCAGAUGAGCAGGGCGUCGGGGCUGCCGCGGGCGACGAGGCAGCUCAUGGUGAGCAGCAGCUCGGGCUUGGAGCCGGCCUCGAGGCCGAACCCGAAGGGCGCGCCGAACUCGACGAUGUCCUCCACCACGUACCGGUCCUGGUUGCACUUGACGGGGUAGACGCCCUGGUACCGCCCGGCGUAGCCCGUGGAGCGCACGGCGUAGCCGAAGGCGGCGUUGAGGGUCUCGACGCGGUGGCGGAGCACGUCGGGGAAGCGCACGAGCAGCGGCAGCGCGAGGCCGAGCCCGCCGCCGGCGCGCGCGCCGGCGGCCCGGGCGACCACCUUGGCGAGGUCGAUCUCCUGGCCGGGCAGCGUGGCGGCGCCGUGCGGGCGCACCGCGACGUCGCCGUCGUCGUUGACGAAGAAGUAGGGCGCGCCCCAGCCGUCCACGUUGUAGAGCGCCGACGAGAGGUCGGCCGACCAGGCGGCCACCUCGGGCUUCUCGGCGGCGGCCGCGGCGACGACGGCGGCGGGGCCCAGCAUCAGCGGCGCGGCGACGAAGCGCGGCGACGCGUCGCAGGACGCGGCGAAGGGGUGGGCCACGGGGGCCGCGGCGUCCACGGCGAGCGCAGGCAUCUCGUCACGGAAAUUAACAACCGGAGAAAGCUAAUCCGCUGGGGAAAAAAGUCAGAAAUCUUUUUUGUUUCUUUGUGCUGUAGUCAGGAAUUUCUCUGCUAUUUGCUUCUGCGAAAAAUCAGAAUCCGAUGAAGAAGAAAAGAAUUGUGUGUGGCGAAAAAGCUGUAGAUCGAUCGACGAACAGCGAAGAAGAAAAUUACGGCAAAAAGUCAGUAAUUAUGAGGAUCGAAAUCUACUGGCGGGUGUUGAGAUUCCGACGAUCACUGAUGCCAAAAGAGGAAGUUCUGGAAGGGGAGGUAGAAGAAAUCUAGGACGGGAUUUUGGAUCCUGUUGUAAGGAAGGGGGCUUAGAAAGCCGCCGAGGCCGGAGCCCCGGCUACCCCCGCAAAAGUUGCAGGCGGGCGGGGGGCGCGCGGCGGGGAGGGUCGCGUCGCCGGUUGUGGAGGCUGGGCUCCCCACGCCGGCGUUCAGUCGGGGCUGGAGAAACGGCGGCGGCGCUAGGGGGGUGGAUCGAUUGGUGGUGCGGUGGAGAUGGAUGCGCAGAUGGGAGAAGGAGCGAGCGUUGCUGGCGGUGGAUGGGUUUGCGGCUGUGCGUGGCGCCGGCUUUAUAGGAGGCCCGUGGAGAGCCUCCCCCGGUCAUCCUUUUUUUUUUGAGAGAAAGAAGAGAAAGAGAGAAGCCUCCCCCGGUCAUCCAUCCUAGUGUUGGUGGCGCAGCGUGAGAUGAAAAACUUGCCGCUUCCGUUGAGCCUCGGCAGUGGACGAGCGGGGUAGGUGCGGUUUGACCCCGCCCGCCCUCCCGCGGGCCCCGCGCGUCAGUGGGGGUACGCCUCGUGGCUGCUCCGGCCUGACGGCGCUGGGAGUAGCGGUGGUUGGGGUCGUGGACGGGGCCCGUUAAUUGCGACCCAUGCCCUUGGCUUGACCUGACCUGCGAGCGGUGGUGGUUGAAUGCAUCCCCGCUCGACCAGCCGGACCCGCUCACGUUCUUUGAUCCCUCCUCGUUCUGCGCCGUCCGUCGGGGGAUCGGACGGCCGGGGAAGCCCCAGAUCGGACCUGUGCCCGGCUUUGUAUGCGGCUCAUUGGCGAGCGGCCCCGGGAUCCGCCGGGUCACGUGAGGCCGGUAGUAGCACUGUAGCAGGGGCAGGGGCGUGGGCCGUCGCAGAUCGCAUAUGCGCACCAGAACCGGGUCAAGGGCAGGCCGCGCCGGGGUCAGUCAGUCAGUGCGUGUGAACCGCACAGGCGGAUUGGGCAAACAUGGUCGAAUCGACCGCACUCUCUUCCGCACUCGUCCUUCCUUUCGCCUGCCCGCAUCGUCGGCCUCCUCCGAACUUGCUCCAAGUUUGCCCCGCCGACGUCCACCUCUAUCGUAGCCACCAAUGUACACUCCAGCAUCCGCCCACGCCUUGGAGGAUGGGUCCGUGAAGUACGUCGAGGUCCCCUGCCACUGGCGGAGCUAUGUGUUAUGGGUGAAAAAUGUUGGUCUCCCUUUGUACCUACCCGCUCAACUUUGAUGUGUAGCUCCACCACUAGAACAAGGCGGAGACAAUCGCCAACGAGAAGGCGGAGAAGAGAAUACUAGAGGAGGACAAGGACAUUGUAGAUAGAAUUUGCCGCGUCCAAGCCCUUCGUUACACCCGCCGGAGGGUUCACACUCGCACCCGACGUCGUUCUAGUGUUGAUCAACUUGAGCUAUCAAGGUCCGAUCAUGGCGGAAUCUGCUCGAUGUUCCUCCCAACUGUUAGAGUUGUGUCGAAUAUUGUGUACACGGUAGGUUACAGUUGGACUCUGAGUAGUAUUGUGUUUAGAUAGGAUAUGGAGUCGUGUCCUAGUAGGACACUUGUAUCCUAGGCCUCUCUUAUAUAGCGGGGAUAGACACACGAUGUAACCUAUGCCAACAUAAUAGCACCGGAACGCAGGGGAAGCCGGCGGCAUGUGCCGGUGUCCAGGGCGACCGGGUGCGGUAUUGUAGCGGUAUCAUGGGGAGGAGCGCCCAUAGUCAGGCCUCGGGGAUGUAGCCAUAUCGGUGAACCUCGUUAACAAAUCUCGAUGUUGUGCUCGUGUGAUUGCUUGGUCCUCGGAUGAUCGGCGGUAUGCCUCGGAUUUAUUCUAACAAGUGGUAUCAUGAGCUAGGUGAUUCAGAGAUCACGAGUCUGAUCUAGAGGAAGGUCGAAGGUGAUUGUGGCUGCGAGUUGUGUGAACAGCGAAAGCAGCGGAAUUGACCGCUCGAUGUUUGAUAGCAGAGUGGUUAAGUUGACAACAGGACAGUCAAGACGAGUCGCUGCCGAUUCAUUGGAGGACUACGGUGUGGUCAACAAAAUCAAUCAGAUGCAAUCGAGAGAGCGGUGUUUUUCGACGGAAUUGAAGCAAUCGGAAACAGUCGACAUGCCAACGUGUAGCAGCAGGAGUCCUUGGUGAAAGCGGCACGGGAACGCUGGCUGAUCAGCAUGCAUGAACCUGGCAUGCAGGGCGGCCCAGGCGGUAGGCCCGCUAGACGCGGGGCACGUGGCUGGCUGGGUCAAGGCAGGCUGUAGCAAGGAGGCACAGGCUCGGGGCGUUGCUCUGCGCAGAGGCAAAGGAGCCAUGUGGUGCGGUGUGGUGCUGUGCAUGCACGAGAGAUUUGUUUGGACAAAAGAGAAAUUCGGCACAAGGACAGUCAGCCGUGACGUGUUUGCUAUCAAGAAAGAAAUAAAAAAAGUCUAGAAGCUAUGAACGUGUGGUGAAUUAAGAGUUUGUUGAUCUCUUUUGGAGUAUUCACAUGGAAAAGCUACAAGAGAUUUUUCUUUGGGUUUCUUUGUCGGUACAGUUGUGUAUGGAUGGCGAAUGUCAACGGCUUGAGGAGUCUGGAACGUGUCAUGCAGUCGAACAAGUUCGGCUUGGUCGGACUAGCCAGUCUGACGGGAUCGACGCGAGUCGGUUGGUACAGAAGACGGUGGUGGGAUCGGCGACGACGACGUAGGAGCGUGAUGCUGAUGGUGACCGACUUCUGGGCGUGGAAACACGUGGCGCAGGCCCCGAGGGCUUGUGUGACUUCAGCAAGACUAUGGCGCGGGAUUGAUUCAAGGUGGUGUAUACAUGGAGCUUGAAGUCGAUGAGGCGCGAGGGUGGACUGAUCAUCUACCAUGGAGUCAUGUUGAAGAUGGAGCUGGAUUGGGGGGCUACGGUGUAAGGAUCCAGAGAACCGAAGCCUAUUCAGCGGAUGGAAAAAAGCGAGUGACAUGCAGUUCGGACUGGAGCCCAGUGGUCUGAUGGAAGCGUGAAACUCGUCAUCGGUCGGUGAUGAUCGAUGGUACUCUGCAGUGGAGGUUGAGUGGUGUGGGUUCGCGACCCUUGAGACUCGACCAGGACAGCGGAGGCUCGACGCGGUAAUAGCGGCGAGGCGUGCGGAGCGCACGGGACAUGGAGAUGGGCCAGGGCUCUAGUGGUCAUACAUGUGGUGAGACAACUGCGAAUUUGACUCGGAAUGACUACAAGCAAUGGUGAAUUUCCUUCAAGUUUCAGACAGGCGGUCAAGAAAGGAGCGGUGAUGUUGAGUUCAGAUAACUCUUAUGUGUGACACCCAAUAUGUGAGUUAUUCAUUUUCACGCAGGUCAGUGAUCGGGGUGUGAUGGUGUUGAACGGAUACUCUGGAAGUUGGAAGCACAAACUAGAGUAACAAGGAACUUAAUUUUGCUCGAGUGUUGACCGUGGUCAAGAAAAGAAGGGACUAAAAGUUGCAGGUGGAGUCAUAUGGAGUCUUUGGAGUAACAGCGGUGCUCAUGGGACAAGCUCAAGUCCAAUGUACAUGGAAGUUUGACGCAUGGACAAAUUCAAGGUGGUGGAGAAUAUUCGCCAAGGUGGAGUUUGUUAGAGUUGUGUCGAAUAUUGUGUACACGGUAGGUUACAGUUGGACUCUGAGUAGUAUUGUGUUUAGAUAGGAUAUGGAGUCGUGUCCUAGUAGGACACUUGUAUCCUAGGCCUCUCUUAUAUAGCGGGGAUAGACACACGAUGUAACCUAUGCCAACAUAAUAGCACCGGAACGCAGGGGAAGCCGGCGGCAUGUGCCGGUGUCCAGGGCGACCGGGUGCGGUAUUGUAGCGGUAUCAUGGGGAGGAGCGCCCAUAGUCAGGCCUCGGGGAUGUAGCCAUAUCGGUGAACCUCGUUAACAAAUCUCGAUGUUGUGCUCGUGUGAUUGCUUGGUCAUCGGAUGAUCGGCGGUAUGCCUCGGAUUUAUUCUAACACCAACCACCCUCACACCAAGUCGCUUACAUCCAGCCAAAGCAAAACAUUCGUUCCUCCAAUCCUCUCCUCCAAAGAGCUAUGCUAGCUAUAAAGGAAUAAUAAGGCCUAAUAGGCCUAUUCAUGACAUGGAAGCCACUUCGGGCUUCUUCUGACCCGCGUGGGCCUCGCGUUGCUUUCCGACUUCUGGCCCUGCUCGCUGUCGUAGUUUGAAUCCUUGCCUCCUAGUGUAUCGAGAAGAGUGCGGUGCUGUAGGAUCUGGCUAAUCCAAACAUCUAGGCUAUCGAGAAGAGUGUGAGUCACAUGUAACACGGUGAUGAUAACGAAAACUUAUAGGUUCAUCGGAAAGUUUAACAAGGGGCUAGAUAACUCGAGAGUGGGAUUUGCUCCUUCGACGAUGGAUAGAUAUUCUUAGGUCCCUCUCAGUGUGACGGCAUCCAUCAUUGUCUGGCCAAACACAGGUGACUAUGUCACGAGGAUGCCAUAACACAAUAAUGAGAAAGAAGAAUAAAACCAAUAACGAGGAUUUCGGUAUAGUGAGCACGGUGAUGACUCAAGAGGAUACCGAUGCAUACCGGUUUUUGUGAAGUAUCGGGAAGCAAAGGAAACAUCACAUGAUAACCAAAAGUUCGCUCGAAUAUCAUUCUUUACUCAUAGGGAUCGAUCUGAACGUUCACGAUUCUAUUGUCGAUCAUUGAACGAACGGUUUCGUUCAUGUCUAUGAGUUACCGAACCUACGGGGUCACAAGGUCAAGGCAAUCACGAUUUGCUGUGUGUUAUUCAGACGAGAGUGAUGAGAAUAUAUUUCUGAAAUUGUUUCAUUAAUAAUCAGAAUAGUUUCGAGAGAAUCCGAAAGCGUUUCGGGCUCAGCGCUAUACAAAACACGAAAACCUUUUUUUCUACCUGACGCGCGGGACUAAAUAAAAUCAUAAAACAACCUCUACAGAUCCCUAAUAAAACCACUACAUAAGAGGCGGUUCAUUUUAUUCAUUAUUUACAAAUCAAUGCUAACUUUUGUGAACAUUUUCUAAAAUUUUAUGGACAUUUUUUCAAACUCUUAAAUACUAUUUGAAUACUGGAUCAUUUUUAAAAAUAAUGAACAUUUAUUUGAAAUAGUUAUGUUUUUAUAAAUAUGCGAAGAAUUUUUUGAAAUUGUGAACAUUUUACGAUUACCCAAAAGUUUUUUGAAUUUAUAAACAUUUUAUAAUUUCUCAAUACAUUUAAAAAACUCGCAACUUAUCGAAAUUUGGUUAUUUUGAAAAUCCUAAAUUAAUUUAAAGAAAAAAAAGCAAAAACAGAAAUGAUAAAGUAAAGAGCAAAUAAAACGAAAUAGAAAAUAGGGGGCGGCAACACGCACAUGGGCCAGCCCAUUGCCGCGUGCUAGAGAGAGAAAAUGCAAUAAAAGUGGGUUAAACCAAGAAUCGCACCCUGGUCCACCGUGUUGAAAUGUGCGACCUUAGCCUUUUAGCUACUCAUGUGUUCGUGUUAUUUAAGUGUAUCAGCAUAUAUGAGCGAAACCUAGUGGCGAUUUUGAAUGAAAAACGAAUCAUUUUUCUUCACUUGAAUAUUAUCAACUUUUAGACACUUUUAAAGACGGAAUAGGCAGAAGCAAUCUGUGCUUUAUUGUUAGAUAAAGAUUUAAUACCAACGGGCCUUAAAAAGGCCAAGAGGUGGAAGGUAACUUGGGCCACAAAGGUCGAAGUGUUAGAAGCCCAAUGUGGUUCUAAUCUCCUUCCUCUAAUUCUCUGACGAUGAUUAGCUUUGGACGGUGAAGCGCUAAUGGAUCGUGAAGGUUGCACGCUUGCAACCAAGUAGAGAGCCCGUGAUUUCGGUCUUCGGUUCGAGUGACUGUUUGUGGGCGGUUUGCGGGAUCGUUCAUCAACGGUUCGAGGUACUCCAAAUACGAUCUACACUGAUACGGUCUUCUUUCGCUGCAACUCGGUGACGGUAACGAGAUUUUGGAUGUGCAUAGGCGUGAAUUUCUUUUGUUUUCUACUACGUUUUCCAACAACGCCGUCGUGCUGACCUAGAUCCCAUCUAUCUCUCCACCCUAUUUUGCUGGAUCAAGAUGAUGGAGACGUCACCGAGCCGCACACGUGCAUAUCUCGGAGGUGUCGUCCGUUAGACGCUGGAUUGAAUUGGAUCGCGAAGGAAGUACGACUACACCAACCACGAUCUUUAGAUUGUUGGCGCUUUUGGUUUAUAAGGGUAUGUAGACACUUCCCCUCUCAUUGCUAGCAUCUUCGUAGAAUUGAUCUUGAGUUUUUCGUAGAUUUUUUUUGUUUUCCUUGCAACAUUCCUCAUCAGCCGGGUCCGACGUGCCCUGUGGCGUCCGGGCCACCACAUAUCCGCCCCAUAUUUGAGCUGGUUAUGAGGUAUACCAGCCAGCCGUCUGGGUCGGGCUUUGUUAUUUCCAAAUGUUUUUGUGUUUGAUUUUCCAUUAUAAGCCGAUUCAACUCUCUUCUUGUGUAUGCGAAAAUUGUGAGAGGUCCCCAUUCCUUGAUGAGGUUCCCAAAAACAGUUUAUUUUUCAUAAGGUAGAAAAUUGUGAUCGAACUGUCUUUGGAAAAACAACAUGUGAUCCAACUGCCUUCGUAAUUGUAAACAAGAAGUAUGCUUAUUUGGAAAAGAAAAGUAUGUGUAUAUCCGAAAAAAAAACAAAACAAGAAGUGUGUUGAUGGUCAUGACAGAAAAGAAGAACAAAAAAAGCGUGCGUGACUGAUCGAACACCCACCAUCCGUUCGACUAGGGAUUGAGGUCGAUAGUACUGCAGUGCAGUAGUGAGCACAGCAAAGAGGACCCGUGCGAGCAAGCAAACGGCGAGAUUCGAGCGGCGCGAGGCGAAAAGAUAGAGAGAAGAGGAGACCCGCCGGGCGGCCCCUUGCGCCGUCUGCUUUUCCGCAUGCCCGCAACGGCUUGUGCGCUCCGCACCACGAAUCCAACGAAAGUGACAUGACCCCUGCGGCCCUGCAUGCGUCGUCCAUGACGGGAGGAAGGAAUCCAACCAGAUCCGCCCGCGGCAGGACCGCGUCGAGACGCCGCGUGGCUGCUGCCGGGACCCACCCCCCUCCUCUCUCUCCCACGACCGCGUAUUCCCGCCACCACCCAAACCAAAGCCGCAUCUAUCUCCAACACUGCUCCCGUUGCGUGGCCGCGAAGGCGAGGACGACGAUCGUGGCUUUCGGCCGACGGGCUCCGGCCGCCAGCCGCAGCCGGGAUUGUUCGUGCGUUGAUAGAGGGGCGACGAGUCCGGGAAAUAUCCAGAUCCUUUUGGCUCCGGCCGCAUGCCGGAUUGGUGGUGCACGCACACGGCGACUCUGUCAGCCGGUCGCCAUGCUCUAGUGUAUACUCUAGAGGCUCUAGCUGGGGUAGCUAGCAGCGGCCGUCUCCACUUCGUUCUCCAACAGCGACUCCAUCGGCGACUUGUGAUCAGCUGUGACCUGCGAAUGUGUAAGAGUCGGACAAGUUACCGACCGAGCUGUUUUGCCCUGUCCACACGUCUUGGUCUCUGUCAUGCAUGUGUUGUGAUGGUGAGAUGUAUACUAGCUAGUAACUUGAGCUAUUGUUUCACCAACGCACUAUUAAAUUUUCCAAUGAGCAGAAGAUGGUUUUGAAAAACGAAGCAUGUGCGAUACCAAUUUUGCAAACUCCACGGUGGCCUCCUUUGCAAAUUAGGGCUUUCAGGUCAUCUACAGUGGAAAAACAACAGAUGCCAUCUCCCUUUUGUCCCUGGUCUGAGCCCAUUUGUCCGCAAAAGGCGCGAGGCCCAACGGCGUGCCCCCAUUAUUCCUCCCACAUUUGGCACCCCAACAUUUUUGCUCAUUUUCCAAAUUUUCAACCAAAUUUGAAUACUCUAAAAGACAUAGUUAAAACAUAGAAAUAUAUAGUACAAUUUUUUUUUAAAAAUUACAUGGUUCAAAUUAGGAAAAAAUGUUUAAACAAAAAUAUAAUUCAUAGGACAUUGUUCAAACAUUAAAAAACAAAGGACAUCGCAAAUCUAUUGAUUUCCAUGAUGUAGCCACAAAUGCUCUAUGAGAUCAUCGAGGAGUUGUUCAUGCACUUCUCGGUCUCAAAGUUAUCAAUGCAUCUCGAGAAAAUGCGCAACUAGAUUGGCCCCUCUUGUUAUGAGAGGUGGACAUGUUCUCCCGGCGACUGGAUUUAUCAAAAUCAACAUUACCCAAACAAUCGCCAUCACCCUCAACAGCCAUGUUGCGCAUAAUCACACAUGCAGUUUAUCACCUCCCGCAAUAUCUAGGGAUCCCACGCAGUAGACAAAAACCCACCGAGCUUGUAGCACCAUGCCCUCUUGAAAUAUCUAAUUGGCUACAAAAUAGGCGUGGUAGAGAUCAACAUGGACCUUUGCCUACUCCAAUAAAUAGUUAUCCUACCCGAGGUAGAACCCUUGAGGUUGAGAACAUGCACAUCUUGCUUCUCCAUUGCUUCGAGGAUACUCAACAUCAUCAACUCAUAAUCGUCAGUACCGCCAUCCAAUAAUGACGAGUCGAAGAACUCGUUUCACUUAAAAUCACCACAUGUGUCCAUGGUGUGUCCUCCGCAAAUGUGAAAAGAAGUGGUCAAAUUGUGUGCAAACAUUUUUGUCGGACAUGUGGUGUCUAAGGUGGACGUGAGCGGUAGGACUUAAUGGGGUAGCGUGUUUAGAGGCGAUGCUUGGGGUGGGGUUUAGACUACGGACAGCACCCGUGUCUUGGUUGAGUGUUCGAGGUGGGCACAAGACAGGGUGGGGGUGUAGCUAGUGGGAGGAAUAGAGAAAGAGAGGACAAAGAAAGUAGACCUAGGGAUGGAGAUUUAAUGUGGUGAUGUUUAAGGUGGGGCCUACGUGUGUUUGGGCUGACAUGACGAUUAAUUUAGGGAAACCGGUGAAGACCACACACACCGGACAAACCGGAGGAGCCCAUUGGACAACAUUUUGUGUUUGGCAAGGGCAACACUCCAACGUCGUGCAUCAAAACGCCCCUAAACGUGCGGACAACGCGGUCCAGACACUCUUGCUAGCCAAGGUCAUGCACAAAAUAUCUGCGGUCCAGACACUCUUGCUAGCCAAGGUCAUGCACAAAAUAUCUGCAGACCGAUCUGGAUGCCCAAAUUCCCACAAACGGGAAGCAAACCAUGGAGAGGUUUGCGAAUAUUCGCACGCGUCCCACGUUGGCGUCCGGUUGCACGGUCCCACCUAAAGCCUUGUUCUAGUACAAGGCAUUUUGAUGCGACGACAACCGCCUACCACAUUCAUGCCGGUCAGACUGACGUGACCGAAUGGCUGACCGGCACCGCAUCAAAGCGGAUGUGAUGACCGAGAAGCCACUGUGCCCACAUUGAAGUGGCGUCGGAUUGUUUGCCCCGACUACUUAAAGCAGUCAUAGCUCGCCAACAAACCCUAUCUCCUUCCUCAGCAUAGCGCCGUCUAUCCUCCUCUCCUCACCUCUCAUCUGCACGCCGGAGUGAUGGGCAACUCUGACGGCUAGUCUUGGCGCUGGCGGGUGGAUCGGCGCGGAGGUGCGGAUCAUUGCGCCACCACGAUCGUGGCAUGCACCACUCCGAUGAGCGAGGAGAAGGUGUUGCUCUCCGACGACGACAAGGAGCAGCCGCCCCUCCUUGCCAAGGUACUACUAUCCAAACGGACAUAUACGGGCAUACGACAAACUAGGGAGGCCCAUGGAGAUGCCUACAAUUUUGCUCUUUUUGAUGUACUAGUGUUGUUUGCCCAUCCAUGUGUAGGUGUGCAACCAAUAUGUUUGGCGCCGUCCCUCUCGUGGCACCUGUCGUGGUUCCAAGUCUGACAAUAGUGUAGGGGGGGUAAGUAUGGAGAGGUAAGAUCUUAGCUAUGGAGAAGUUGUAAGCACGCAAGGUUUACGAGUUCAGCCCCUUCUCGGAAGAAGUAAUAGCCCUACGUCUCGGAGCUCAGAGGCGGUCGACUGGAUUAUGUGUGUAUGAAUUACAGGGGUGCGAACCCUUUACACCGAGGAGGGGUUGGCUUAUAUAGAGUCCGCCAGACCCCUCCAGCCCUCAGUUAUGCAGGGUUUUAAGUACAUUAAGGUCGGGCGUUACUGGUAACGCCCCUAAUAAAGUGCUAUGAUGAUCAUAAAAGCUACUUAAUGACCGACCAUUAGCGUGCGGAGUGACUUUAGGUCUCCUGGCCGUCGGGUGGUUGGAUCUUGGUCGAGUGGUUGCUUCUUGGUCGAGUGUCUUCGAGUCCGUCGAGUGAAACACCGCCAAGUCGAUUGAAAUGUGAUUUCUUCUUGAGGUGUCCUUGGGUAGGUCAGUUUGGACAGGUCCAUGGCCCUACCUUAGGUACAUAGCUUCAUCAUUAGCCCCCGAAUGGAUCGAGGUUUGAGUGGGAAAGGGUUUGAGCACAUCUCUGACUCAUUUUUCAUGUCGUGAACAUACCUUGUUUCGGAUCAAUGGACCAGAGUGAUAACAACAACUUUCUUUCCAGUCGCCUUGACCCAUUCUUAGGUUUUGUCGAGUGAGUUCUUAUACUUGAAGAGUUCUGAGUGACGGUGUGGAGGAGAUCUUCGGUCCGACGAGUUGUUCUGCAGCCCGCGGAUUUCGUGGGAUCCAAAUUUCGAGAAGCGCGCGGGACGGGAGAGGCCGCAGUAAACGGAUGGGAUAGCGCGGAGUUGCCUCGAUCCCCGCGCCACCUUUUUCGCCACGUAUCGCGCGCGCGAUCGCCACGGGAUUUGGCAGGGCCGUCCGGGCCUACCAGUCAGCCACUCGGAAGCAGCCUCAUAUAAGGUGUUGGGCCGGGGCUCUGUUUCGCACGCCACCAUUCUCUCUCUGUUUUCUCCCGAUUUCUCCGCCACCCUUGCUCCCGUCUCGUCGCCGGAUCUCCGCUCGAGCUCGAACUGCCACCAUGGGGAAGGACAAGACGGCGGCGUUGGAACGCGCGAAAAAGGCAACCGCAAAGGUGAAGGGCAAGCAGACCAACCGAGGCGGAUACUCGUCGAGGUCCGGCCUGCCGGCGGGAUGGAUCCAGGGCGACUGGAUCCGCUCGGCAAUCACGCGGGACGACCUCGAUGACCUGGUGGAAGGGGGAUUUAUUCCCCACAAGUCGGCUCGGCUCCCGAGAGACGAAACUGAGCCGCAGCCCAGAGAGGGUGAGUGCGUCCUCUUAGCAACUCACAUAGAUCGUGGGUUCUCGCUGCCUCCCCACCCUUUCUUCCGGUUUUUUUUGAACUUCUUUGGGGCUCAGCUCCACCAUUUUACUCCGAAUACCAUAGUCUAUCUGGCCGCUUUCGUGUCUAUGUGCGAAAACUUCUUGGGCUGUCGACCGCACUGGGGGCUCUUCAAACAUAUCUGCACUUGCUGUUCCCAGUCCGUCAAGAAGACCAAGUCGAGUGACGAGAGGACUCGGGUGAUCCAGAUGUGCGGUGGUCUGGGGAUCCAGAUGAGGAGCAAAAGUACCUUCCCAGUGAUGAUCCUUCCUGACUCGGUCCGGGGCUGGCAGUCGACUUGGUUUUACUGCAAGGAUCAGCCGACCCCUGGCCAGUCGACUGGGCUUCCUCCUUUCUCCUUGGCUCAAGUGGAGAAGCCUGCUCCCCUGAAGAUAGUUUCAGAAGAGAAGGCACAGGUCAAGAAGCUAGUCGAAUGGGUCGUCCAGCUCGUUCGCGACGGAGUGACCGAGAUGGAUCUGCUGGAGGUCUUUCUCGGUCGACGCAUCCAACCCCUUCAGGCGCGCGAUCAUCCGAUGUGGAUGUAUUCUGGGCUCGAAGAUACCACUUGGAUUCACCCGGAGGAGGUCAGUGAGGAUACCUUGGAGAGCUGGUUGAGAGGAAUCACUGGCAACAAAGACAACCCUCGGGGAUCCAGGAGGGUGAUUCCAUUCGACAACUCGCGUCAGCCGGAGCAGGUAUGUUUCUGUAAGUAACUUUCCGACUCUCCAUGUGAUGUCCCAUUUGCGGUCGACUGAAUGUCUUUUGAUUGUUAUUUUUUCAGGCCCUCAUUGAAAUGUACUCGAUGCCCAAUGGAGAGCAAGGGCAAGACUUGGAAGGCGAGGCGAGCGGCGGCGACAGUGGCGAGUGGACUUCUGAUGGUGAAGAGGAUGGAGAAAGCGAAGACUCAAGCGACGAAGAAGAAGUUGAGUCGCCUCCUCGCAGGGAGAGGCGAUCCAAACUUGCCCAAGAACGACCGAGCGUCCGUGAAAAGGCGACUACUCAAGCUGGUCAAUCUUCGAAGCGUCCUCGGAUCUCUUCACCAACCCCGACCGAGAAAGCGCCCAAGCACCCCAAAGUUGCGGAGCCGAAAAUCCGGAAGGCGUUGCCGAAGAUUAAGAUUGACAUCCCCGUCGCUUCUGCGUAAGUGUCUUCCUCUGUAUACACUCGACGCUCAGCGCCGUUUGUUUUUCUUGUUUUAAUCGGACGAACUUUGGAACCGUCAAUGCUGCCACUUCCGGGACCUCAGCUUACAGGGACGAUGAUGAGGUGAUGGAGUAUGCGGUCACUUCUAAUCUGGCUAUGAUUUCUGCCAUAUUGUCUUUGUUCGGUCGAUUCAACUGCAAUGUGCAUCAUUGGGUGACGUGAUUUUGGCAAUUGAACUUUGCACAGCUCCCAACAUUAUUGACCUCCCCGAUGAUGAUGAAGAGCCCGAGAGGUCUUUGACGAGGAAGAACAAGAAAGCUCCUGCAAGCGAGGCGCUUCAUUCGACGUCGAGGGCGGAACCAGUCGUUCAGGACACCGACGACGCCAAUCGGGGUUUUGUUACCUUCGUUGUGCCACUGUCGAGUGCCUUGCCUUCUUCAUCGACUGCUCAGGCCCCUGUCGACCCACCUUCAGUUUUUGCGACCCAUCAUGUCCCAGAAGAUGAAGUGAAUGCUGCCAGGGAAGCUAUACGCCAGGCGGGCGUCAUGAUGGAGAAGAUGAAGACGGUGCGGGACGCCAGUCAGGCUGCCUACGACGCGAGCUCGGCUCUCCAAAGCAACGUUCAGGUUAGUUGGUCGCCGCUUGUUCUGUUAGGAUAUGAUAUCUGAAGACUCUUUCCGAAAAUCUUUGCAUCUGUACACCCACUGGGUGCGUCGAUUGAAAUUUUUGAACCGGUGGGGGCACGCUGAGUGCACCCACUGGGUGUAGUCCCCGAGACUACGGUGGACUGCUGGCAGUCGACUGUAGUCGUUGUAUUUUUUCGAAUGAAUAAACCAAACUGGUGGUUUGUCUCUUCCACUCGGUCUGGUUGAGUGGGAUCAGAACCGGUAGGGGCACGUAAAGUGCACCCACUGGGUGCAGUCCCCGAGACUACGGUGGACUGCUGGCAGUCGAUUGUAGUCUGAGUUCUACUUUCUCUUCUUUUUUUAACUUCCUGGACUCGACUUCGGCGGGCCGGUCGAGUGGGAUCAGAACCGGUGGGGGCACGCAAAGUGCACCCACUGGGUGUAGUCCCUGAGACUAUGGUGGACUGCGGGCUGUCGACCGUGGUCUUAGUAUUUAUUCCCUUUGUUGUUUUUCGCUGUAAAAUAACUUCUCCUCUUUGAUUGUAGAAAUCUUGUGAUCUGGGAGCUCGCUUUGCUGAUUUGGAGAAACAGCAGAUCCAACUGAACCUUGACUUAGAGCUGGCCAAGACAGAGCUGCAAAAGGCGAAGGAUGGUGCCAAUGGUAAGACGAGUUUGUCGACUGGUUUGCCUUGGGCUUCAGUACCCUUCCGCUCUUUCUGAAUCAAGCACCAUUUCUUUGCAGAAAAGCUGAGAGAAGCUCUGGCAAAGAAGGACCAGGAUCUGGUUGCUGCCCGAAAGGAAGCUGACGACAGAAUCUCUUUGGCCGAACAGAAGCUGGCUUCCGUCGGCCAGUUGGAAGAAGAGAAUACCAGGCCGAAGUCUGCUCUGAAUGACUCCAACAAGGAGUGCUCGCGCUGGAAGAAGGCGAAUCUCGUUCAGGGUGAGAAAAUGGAAAGCAUUGCUCCCAGGAGGGAUGAUCUGGAGAGCUAUCUAAGAAGUCUUGCCAAGAAGUUGUUCAUCAAGCUUGAAGGUGCACAUUCUGUUUCGACUGAUUUUUUUUCUUGAUGUCGACUCAGUGUACAAAAAUUGACUUAUCCUUGGAUCGUGAAUGCAGAGUUUUGCCAGGACUUUGAAGAGGAGACUGGGCGGAUCGAACCGGGUUUGGAUCCAAUCAACUCUCCCGUGAAAGAUGAAACUGCCAUGAAUCUGCUCCGACUGGAAUCUCGCAUCGACGGUGCCGUGGACUACUUGGCUCGACUGAAGGUCGCCAUGUCACGGAUCGACCCGGCACUUUGGCCAGAGGCCACACUCUAAAACGAUCUUGAGUCUCUGAUGACUCGACUUAACGGAAUCCCUGACCGAGUGCAGGAGUGGAAGAAGUCUUCUACUCGGUGUGGCGCUGAUGUGGCCCUGUCUUUGGCGACAAGAUAAGCUGGCCGCAAUCAAGGUCGCCAACACCCAAAAGCAUGACUUCCGAACUUUUAUGGAGACUUUCAUUGCUGCCGCCACUCGGAUUGCUGAUGGCGUCGACCUGGAUGAGUUCGUCGAGCCUGCCAGCCCUCCUCCUACGAAGUGAACAAACUUUUAUGCCCCACCUUAAAUUUUCCUCGGAAUGUCGAGUGGUUUUUGUAACCGUUAAACUCUUUCGGGUUGAAUGCCUGAGCACUUUGACCUGUGGUCCGGACCCUUUAGGAUUUAUCUGAACUCGGUUUAUCGUUGAAUAUCUUUAUGAAUCCCCCGUCGAGUGGAAAUAGUUCUUCUUUCGAGACAACUUUUUUGUACUUGUGGCGCGACUCCGAAGGGGAAGGUAGCAGUCGACCUGCACCUCGUUACUGCAGAGCAGGAUGGAGUGCACGUUGUAUUUGUGGCGAAGCUCUCCAAGCAGGAGGUGGUCGUCGAUCUGCAGCUUGUUACUGCAGAGCGGGAUGUGUUUCGUACUUAGGCGAGUACCCGGCCGCAGCUAAGUCUUCAAACGAGAAAACUUAGGCAAGUACCGGACUGCAGCUAAGCCCCCGAGUGGGAGGACUGCUCUUUACUCGGUAGGAUUUUUCAAACUUAGGCGAGUGCUUGACUGCAGCUAAGUCCUCAAGCGAGAGAACUUAGGCGAGUACUAGACUGCAGCUAAGCCUCCGAGUGGGAGGGUUGCUCUCCACUCGGUAGGAUUUUUUGUUUUUCAAACUUAGGCAAGUGCCUGACUGCAGCUGAGUCCUCAAGAGAGAGAACUUAGGCGAGUACUGUACUAUAGCCAAGCCCCCGAGUGGGAGGGCUGCUCUCCACUCGGUAGGAUUUUUUCAAACUUAGGCGAGUGCCUGACUGCAGCUAAGUCCUCAAGAGAGAGAACUUNNNNNNNNNNNNNNNNNNNNNNNNNNNNNNNNNNNNNNNNNNNNNNNNNNNNNNNNNNNNNNNNNNNNNNNNNNNNNNNNNNNNNNNNNNNNNNNNNNNNNNNNNNNNNNNNNNNNNNNNNNNNNNNNNNNNNNNNNNNNNNNNNNNNNNNNNNNNNNNNNNNNNNNNNNNNNNNNNNNNNNNNNNNNNNNNNNNNNNNNNNNNNNNNNNNNNNNNNNNNNNNNNNNNNNNNNNNNNNNNNNNNNNNNNNNNNNNNNNNNNNNNNNNNNNNNNNNNNNNNNNNNNNNNNNNNNNNNNNNNNNNNNNNNNNNNNNNNNNNNNNNNNNNNNNNNNNNNNNNNNNNNNNNNNNNNNNNNNNNNNNNNNNNNNNNNNNNNNNNNNNNNNNNNNNNNNNNNNNNNNNNNNNNNNNNNNNNNNNNNNNNNNNNNNNNNNNNNNNNNNNNNNNNNNNNNNNNNNNNNNNNNNNNNNNNNNNNNNNNNNNNNNNNNNNNNNNNNNNNNNNNNNNNNNNNNNNNNNNNNNNNNNNNNNNNNNNNNNNNNNNNNNNNNGGAUUUUUUGUUUUUCAAACUUAGGCGAGUGCCUGACUACAGCUGAGUCCUCAAGAGAGAGAACUUAGGCGAGUACUGGACUGCAGCUAAGCCCCCGAGUGGGAGGGCUGCUCUCCACUCGGUAGGAUUUUUUCAAACUUAGGCGAGUGCUUGACUGCAGCUAAGUCCUCAAGCGAGAGAACUUAGGCGUGUACUGGACUGCAGCUAAGCCUCCGAGUGGGAGGGCUGCUCUCCACUCGCUAGGAUUUUUUUUCAAACUUAGGCAAAGCGGAUUUGCAGCUAAGACUCCGAGUGGGAGGCUGGCUCGCCACUCGGUAGGAAAUCAUUUUUAUAAACUUAGGUGAAGCGGAUUCGCAGCUAAGACACCCACUCGGGGAUUUCUUACAUAAACAAAAACAAUAAUAAUCACUGGGAAAAUUAUAAUGCUCUUGUCUUUGAUAAAUAAACUACAGGAGUUUUUUUUCUUUUCUUAUUACAUCUUAUCUGAAUGAUAACUCAAGUAUAAAAGGGGCGGAGUAGCUCCGCAUUCCAGGCUCGUGGCUCAUCAAUCUGGCGAUCGACAUUGUAGAGGUGGUAUGCUCCAUUGUGGAGGACUCUGGUGACUAUGAAGGGGCCUUCCCAAGUAGGAGCGAGCUUGUGUGGUUUCUGCUGAUCCACUCGGAGGACUAAGUCUCCUUCUUGGAAGGCUCGGCUCUUCACGUUUCUGGCAUGGAAUCGACGCAAGUCUUGCUGAUAGAUGCUCAAUCGAAUCAAGGCCAUUUCUCUUUCUUCUUCUAGGAGGUCGACUGCGUCUUGCCGGGCUUGUUCUGCUUCAUCUUCAGAGUAGAGCUCGACUCCAGGAGCGUUGUGAAGCACGUCACUCGGUAAGACUGCCUCGGCUCCGUAGACCAGAAAGAAUGGGGUUCUUCCGGUCGAUCGAUUCGGGGUUGUUCUUAAUCCCCAAAGGACUGAUGGAAGCUCGUCGACCCAUGCACCUGCUGCGUGCUUGAGAUCGCGCAUCAAUCGGGGUUUCAGUCCUUUGAGAAUCAGGUCAUUCACCCUUUCUGCUUGCCCGUUCGACUGGGGGUGAGCGACCGAAGCAUAGUCGACUCGAGUGCCCUGAGAGGCGCAAAAGGCCCUGAAUUUGUCGGAAUCGAAGUUUGACCCGUUGUCGGUGAUGAUGCUGUGUGGAACUCCAUAUCUGAAUAUCAACUCUCUGAUGAAAUUGAUAGCGGUGCAAGCAUCAAGAUUCUUGAUAGGCUUGGCUUCAAUCCAUUUGGUGAACUUGUCAACUGCUACCAGCACAUGAGUGAAGCCGCUCCUGCCUGUUCUCAGUGGUCCAACCAUGUCCAGCCCCCAAACAGCGAAGGGCCAGACGAGUGGAAUGGUUUUCAGGGCUGACGCGGGAUUGUGAGGCAUAUUGGAGUAAUACUGACAUCCUUCACAUUUGUCGACUAUCUCUUUUGCCAUCUCAUUGGCUCUUGGCUAGUAGAACCCCGCUCGGUAUGCUUUAGCCACAAUGGUCCGAGAGGACGCAUGAUGACCACAGGUCCCCGAGUAGAUAUCGUUAAGGAUCAUCUGACCUUCUUCUGGUGUGAUACACUUCUGGCUGACCCCAGUCGCGCUUUCUCUAUAUAACUGUCCCUUUAUGAUUGUAAAGGCCUUGGAUCGACGGACGAUCUGUCGAGCCUCUUCUUCGUCUUCUGGGAGUUCUUUCCUUAGGAUGUACGCGAUGUACGGUUCUGUCCAGACAGGAGUGAUAACCAAGACUUCCAUGAUCAGGUCGACCACAGCUGGAACUUCAACUUCAGUCGGAUCCGUGGCGCUUUUUGGCUGCGGGGCCUCUUCAGUGAAGGGAUCCUCCUGGACUGAUGGUGUGUGGAUGUGUUCCAAAAACACAUUGCUGGGAAUGGCUUCUCUUUUGGAACCUAUUUUUGCCAGAUCAUCAGCUGCUUGAUUUUUCAGUCGGGGUAUGUGAUGAAGCUCUAACCCCUCGAAUUUCUUCUCCAGCUUUCUCACUGCAUUGCAAUAACCAGUCAUGGCUGGACUUCUGACGUCCCAUUCCUUCAUCACUUGAUUAACCACCAAAUCUGAGUCGCCAUAGACCAUGAGGCGACGGACGCCGAGUGAAAUGGCCAUGCGCAACCCAUAUAAAAGUGCUUCGUAUUCUUCCUCGUUGUUAGAGGAAUCGAAGUGGAUUUGAAGAACAUAUCCGAGUUUAUCUCCUCUGGGGGAGACCAACACCACUCCGGCGCCGGAACCAUUUAGCAUCUUGGAACCGUCGAAGAACAUGGUCCAAUGCUCCGAGUGAACCUGAGUCGGCAGUUGCUGUUCAAUCCACUCGGCGACGAAAUCCGCGAUUGCCUGGGACUUGAUAGCUUUCUUUGCCUCAAACUUUAUACCUAGAGGAAGGAGUUCAA
rnacentral:lncRNA from 1 species